CUCUCUCUCUCACCGCCAUUGGAAGCGGCAGCAGCUCCUCCGCCAUGAGACAGACACCACGUGGAGACAGACUGACUGACCUGACCUCGUGGAUCGAGCCAAGUUUCACAGAAGAUGGCGCUGCUGGAAUGGAAUUGCUUUUUUGCCACCGAGGUCAAUGAACGAUGGAGGUUUGAACAUGAGCAUCAAGGCUUGUUUGCUGAAUGGUGUGAAGGCUGAGCUAUAAAGCUGAAGACUGAAAUGCAUUAUCUCUGUUGCAGGUUGUCCCCAUUUCUUCAGAAAGGCUUGGGUGUCCAUUCACCAGCUAGUUUUUCACAGCUGAAAAUGAAAGUGUUCCAUGGUAUUAUUUCUGAAUCCACGGGUUUUCGGAAAUGCCAAGCAGUAUUCUCAGCUAGUUUUUCACAGCUGAGGAUAAGUGUUCCAUGGAAAUAUUUCUGAAUCCACGGGUCUUCAGGAAUGCUAAGCAAUCUGUUCAGGCUGAGCUGCAAAACUGAACACUGAAAUGCAGUAUCUCUGCUGAAGAUAGUCCCAUUUCUUCAGAGAGGCUUGGGUGUCUAUUUACGGGCUAGUUUUUCAUGGCUGAAGAUGGAAGUGUUCCAUGGAAAUAUUUCUGAAUCCAUGGGUCUUCAGGAAUGCUAAGCAGUCUGUUCAGCUCGUUUUUCACAGCUGAAGAGGAAAUUGAUCCAUGGAAAUAUAUCUGGCUCCACUUAGAGGUCUGCUCAGCUGAAGAAGAAAAUGUUCCAUGGUAAUAUUUCUGAAUUCACAGGUCUUCAUGAAUGCUAAGCAGUCUGUUCAGACAACAACUUUGAAGAGGGAUUCAAUGCACCAAGAAAGUACGGGGACAAAAUGAAUUGACAGCUGUCGUCUUUCAAUACUUCAUCUUUCUGGGUCAUCCAAUCAUUAAAAUGCUUGGGAUGCUGAUUUUUGUACAGCUCGUUCACUGGUGCUGUUGUUUCACAGCUGAGUCCUGUUGACUGCCUAACAGGAUAGAGAAGAAUAGUCUUUGUGAUUGACUUCAGUUUGUGCAAAAUAUAAUUUCAGGCUCUUAGUAAAUGUAGGCUUUAAUUAAAAUAUUUGACUGAGUAAUACAUAUUGAGAGGUUUCUUGGUUGCCUCUGGGCUGGAUUUUCUGGGGUCAGUAGGAGAGCUAUGAUUGUCCUUAGUGCCUCUGGGCUUGGAAGGAGAAAUUAACCAAAAUUUCCACUCUUGAUUGCUUUUGCUGCUGCAAAAGUGCAUUUCUGGACAUCGAGCAAGGCCAAUUGGUCUUAAUUGUCAUUCUCCUUGGGCCAAAUUGCCUGUUGACACUUCCUGAACAUGAAGAAUGAGUUACGAAAGAGUGCUGUUCCUUGUGGAAUUGUAACCGUAGGAGGACUUGGACUUGUUCAUGUUUCAAAAGGGGGAGAGGGGGAUUGGAAGGGGGCUAUUUUCAGUGCAUCAUUUUCAUGUUUAAGCAGGAUUAUGAAGGUGGGUGUGGUUGAACACUUAUUUUGCCUUGCAAAUGCUUUUGAUUCCUUUCAGCCUUGUGUCAAGUUCUGAGUUGAAAGUUCUAAUGGACACAAAUCACUGAAUAGUUCAUAUGGUUUACAUUGUGUGUUGCUGGCAAUUAUUCAAGCAGCUAUUGACUGGUUUCUUAAAUUGCCUCUAAUUGUGGCCCAAUUUGUAUUACUGAAAAAACAAGAAAACUUAAGUCAAUAUGACAUUUACAAAUUACUGCAAUAACCAAAUGUCGUAUUUUCUCUUGGGGACAGUGAAGAUUACUUAAGUAACAAGAAAAUUGCUGUUUAAAUCUUGAAUGGCUCUUGGUAGGUACAACAUGAAAGUAAAUGUAGCUGAAUCGUUCAUCUAUUGUGUCCAACGGCUUUAGUCCAGAUUAUUGCAUGUUAAUGUCAUUAACUAUGUAAUGUAUGUUAGCACAGCAAGUGCCAUAGAGCACAAUUAUAUUGAGGUGUCGCUUGAACGGUUGGAUGUAAUAGUACAGAAUAUAAACACUUUAGAAAUACCCAUGUUCCACUUGUAUAUGUUAAUGUAACUUAAAAUUGUAUUUUAACUAUUGUUUGGAGGUUGAAUCCUGGUUGUUUAUUAAACAUGGUUUCCUUAAA